CGUCCGAAAAUACUUGUCAUCAGAAUGAACAAAAAGAGAUGCAUCUAGAACUAAAAUACAUCUAGAUACAUCCCCUUUUAUUCAUUUUAAUGACAAGUAUUUCCGGACG
rnacentral:pre_miRNA from 1 species